rnacentral:rRNA from 1 species
CAGUCAUACCAACGGGAAAUCAACCUUUUGAGCUCGGUCUCGUGGGUUUUGAAGAGUUUCAAAGCCUUCGGAUUCGCGGGAUUGGGAUCUCUUGGUGUACUUCUUCGUACGGUUAGUCAACAUCGGUUUUGAAUGUCAUAAAAUGACUGGAGGAAUGUAGCUUUGAUCUCGUAUUGAAGUGUUAUAGACUCUGGUAGAUGUGACGGUUGGGAUUGAGGUAUUGCAACGGNUACCCGUUCGGGGGCUACCCGUCUGAUCUCUG